rnacentral:lncRNA from 1 species
UGGGGGCGGUGCGUAACGGGCGCGUGAUCCGGCGUCCUGCGGGUCUUCCCCUCCCCAGGGGCACCCAGCAUGCUUUGGGCACGUGGCAGCUCAUGUCCUAAAUAGGAGUAGUCCUGGGCCGCUAUCCUGUGAGGGUGGAGACGCUCCCCGAGACUGGACAGACACCGAGAGGUGGAGCUGAGCCAAUACGAGGCUAAGGGAAUUCCAUGUAUUCCAGUUAUCCUGAGCUCACGUACAGCAGAGGAUACCCCCGAGUUUCACCGCCAUCUCUUACUAGGAUUCCAGGAUCCCUUUCAAGGCUUCUACCUGGAGCAACUGCCCACAGUUCUGCCUUAAGAGUGCCUGAGAGACCUGGCAUCUCACAGCCUGCCCUCCAAAUCAUCACUCACUCUGCCAGGCACACCAGGUCUUCCUCCCCUUCCUCGCCGCACCAAAGAAAUCAAAACCCAAACUGAGGUAUCAGAAACAUGUUUUUUUUUUUUUCUUUUAAUAGUAAACCUCUUUACAACAAAUAUAGUGAAAGAGUUUUCAAACCAAACUCGUAAGAAUCUCGAGGACUUUUCUUAAUGUGCAGAAUACUAGAAAGCAUCACCGUACAGCACGGAAAGAAAUAAUGAAAACAAACCAACAGCCACACACUUGGACUCACCCAGACCCAGGAGCCAGGAGUGUGGGUGAUUGUCAAGUUUGGGGACGGGUCAGCUCUUGGCUGGCCCAUCCCUCCCUUCUUCCCUCUUUCUGGGACUUGAAUGGGGGUAGAGAAUUCAGAUUCUCCUUGGGAAUCUCAGCCCUCCUGCCCCAUUACAUCCCACCCCUUCUGCUUAUGUAGAGGCAGACAGGGUAGAACAAGGAGCUCCCAGCCUCUUAGGAGAGCCUACAUUCCCCCACAGGGGUUCCAGAGAGUUAGGUAAAAAUAGAGAGAGAGAUAGAUUUAGAUACUUUUCCAUCAUUUCUGUCUCUCCAAACAAAUAAAUAACGAGCAAGGAAGAUGGCUUGACCUCUGCAACAUUUACGGCUGAAGCCAUGACAGACUCUUGGCAGCCUCCCCACAGUCACAGGCUGUGAGAUC